UUUAUAAGGGAAUAAAGUGUGGGACGUGUCCUAUUUUGUAUGUACCUUAUGAAUAAGGACCGGCUAACUCCGUGCCAGCAGCCGCGGUAAUACGGAGGAUCCGAGCGUUAUCCGGAUUUAUUGGGUUUAAAGGGUGCGUAGGCGGCCUUUUAAGUCAGCGGUGAAAGUCUGUGGCUCAACCAUAGAAUUGCCGUUGAAACUGGGGGGCUUGAGUAUGUUUGAGGCAGGCGGAAUGCGUGGUGUAGCGGUGAAAUGCUUAGAUAUCACGCAGAACCCCGAUUGCGAAGGCAGCCUGCCAAGCCAUGACUGACGCUGAUGCACGAAAGCGUGGGGAUCAAGCAGGAUUAGAUACCCUGGUAGUCCACGCAGUAAACGAUGAUCACUAGCUGUUUGCGAUACAGUGUAA
rnacentral:rRNA from 1 species